rnacentral:rRNA from 1 species
CAUGCAAGUCGAACGCUGAAGCCCCAGCUUGCUGGGGUGGAUGAGUGGCGAACGGGUGAGUAACACGUGAGUAACCUUCCCUUGACUCUGGGAUAAGCCCGGGAAACUGGGUCUAAUACCGGAUACGACCUCCUGCCGCAUGGUGUGGGGGUGGAAAGAUUUAUCGGUUUUGGAUGGACUCGCGGCCUAUCAGCUUGUUGGUGAGGUAAUGGCUCACCAAGGCGACGACGGGUAGCCGGCCUGAGAGGGUGACCGGCCACACUGGGACUGAGACACGGCCCAGACUCCUACGGGAGGCAGCAGUGGGGAAUAUUGCACAAUGGGCGCAAGCCUGAUGCAGCGACGCCGCGUGAGGGAUGACGGCCUUCGGGUUGUAAACCUCUUUCAGUAGGGAAGAAGCGAAAGUGACGGUACCUGCAGAAGAAGCGCCGGCUAACUACGUGCCAGCAGCCGCGGUAAUACGUAGGGCGCGAGCGUUAUCCGGAAUUAUUGGGCGUAAAGAGCUCGUAGGCGGUUUGUCGCGUCUGCCGUGAAAGUCCGGGGCUUAACCCCGGAUCUGCGGUGGGUACGGGCAGACUAGAGUGCAGUAGGGGAGACUGGAAUUCCUGGUGUAGCGGUGAAAUGCGCAGAUAUCAGGAGGAACACCGAUGGCGAAGGCAGGUCUCUGGGCUGUUACUGACGCUGACGAGCGAAAGCAUGGGGAGCGAACAGGAUUAGAUACCCUGGUAGUUCAUGCCGUAAACGUUGGGCACUAGGUGUGGGGGACAUUCCACGUUUUCCGCGCCGCAGCUAACGCAUUAAGUGCCCCGCCUGGGGAGUACGGCCGCAAGGCUAAAACUCAAAGGAAUUGAUGGGGGCCCGCACAAGCGGCGGAGCCUGCUGAUUAAUUCCAUGCAACGCGAAUAACCUUACCAAGGCU